GAAACUUCCAUGCUGGCAAAGGGCAGAGGCAAAGAAUCACAGCCAAGAAAACCAGGUGGAAUAAGGAGGUGGCAAACAACAAUCGACUAUUCAAGAAAUCAAGGAUUUUGGAUUCGUCCAUCAUUAACUACAGUUGCCUUCCUUGGCCAUCCAGUAUGGUGUUUAUUUCCUCUGGUGGUUCCUUUUGUUUCCCGUGCUAUCCUUCUCAAUGCUAAUUCUGUUAUCUCAGCUUAUAGAUGUGUUCUGUUGUUGUAGUUAGUUCUCUGGUCUUCAGGAUGGUGUAUACCCUGACUUACAAAUGCAAUCUCCUGAGAUGAGACGAGACACUCAAUGCUCUUCUCUAUCUGAACAAUUAAUGCUGAAGGUCACAGCUACCACCUGUGAUUCAUUAUCAUAUAUUUUUACACAGCUGAAAAUGGGGAGUCACAACACAAAAACAGCUGUUUCUGUGGUGAAACAUCUGCCUAUGUGUGUACCAUGAAAUAAAAGCUGAUUAUAUUUUC